rnacentral:lncRNA from 1 species
AGCUUGCAGUCGCCCUGCGCGCCUCCCCGCGAGGCUUGUUUUCUAGCGCCUCUGGUGGGCCGCCUCCCGCAGGCCUGGUGUGAGCCUGGGGUCCGUUCUCACAGCUGGAUCUGGGGUCUGAAUGCCGCGCCCUCUGGAGAGCCACAGAUGGGUCUCCGCUGAUGCUUCUCUCAAUUUCCUCUAAGAGCGAGAGCUCCGGGAAAGGAGCCGAUCCUGGUGGAAGACUACAGGUCUGAGUCCACUGGACGAAAAACGAGGCUCCUUGGAUUAGAGACCAUCCUGAGGACAUCCUUGGGAGCCAUGUGCUGAAGAUGGCCAAGCCACAGGAUGAAAGGAGCUGCAUCUUUGAGUCACCACUGGAGAAAGGUCUCUCUAAAUGGAUUUGCAGAGACGUCUUCUCGAAUACUCCCCUUCUAAGUUCCACUUGUAAUCCACUUCUUCUAUUCUCCCAGCAAUCAAUGUGGUUUGGGGAAAUUCCAGAAUCUCAUAAUACCUUGGUCAUGGGUAAAUAAGGAAAGGACCUUUACAUACAUGUGAUGCAAAGCAGAUCAAAACAAGCAGAGCAGCCUAAGAGCAGCAAGACCCCAAAGGAUAAGGGAAGUCCUGCAGAAGAGCAGAGCGGUGCUGCAAAGGCAGGCAGGUAAGGUAAGCAGACAGGGCCAUCAGGAUGGAUCCUUUGGGCAUGCCAGCAUCCACCAGGGACUGGUAGAGCUAUUUAGAGAAACUGAUAAAAAGCUCUGCCAACUACAGUCACAAAAGAUGGAGCUCAGAAUGAUGAGUAGAUGCCUAAAACAUCUCCAUUUUGUUGAUGAAGAAAGUAAAGUUUAUAGAGCUUAGAUUAUUUGCUUUUGUACCUAGCACAGUACUUAGUUUAUAGUAGAUGCACAAUAAGUAUUUGUUUAAUGAGUGAAUGAGUCACUAGCCUAAGACCUUUAAUAUAACAUGCUUAAACCUGCUACCAGGGAUUGGGAACUCACCUAUUUAGUAGUGAGUAGAGGGGUGUGGUACUGGUACUUAAGACAGAUGCAUUGUGGUUGGGUAUGGUGUGUUUUUGUUUUUGUUUUGAGACAGGUUCUCCCUCUGUUGCCCAGGCUGAGAUGCAGUGGCAUUAUCAUGGCUCACUGCAGCCUUAACCUCCCGGGGCUCAAGCGAUCCUCCCACCUCAGCCUCUGAGUAGCUGGGACCACAGGUACGCAUCACCGUGCCUGGCUAAUUUUGUUUUUUGUUUGUUUGUUUUGUAGGGACGGGAUUUUGCCAUGUUGCCCAGGUUGGUCUCGAACUCCUGGGCUCAAGCUACACCCGCCCGCCUCGGCCUCCCAAAGUUGUAGGAUUAAGGUGUGAGCCACUGUGUCCAGCAGAUAUAAUGUUUUUAAAAGUUUGAGAGUUAAUAUGCUCUCUGGUGUGCCCUAGGUCCCACUACUCCUAUUGCCUUAAAACUCACGCAGUACACAUUUGUCUUCCAUGGGCUUCAGUUGUAAGAGAACCCUUUCUACUCUUUGCUGUUCACAAGUCUCCUUUUAAACAGAGCUUGUUCCCAAUGCUGUUUUGUUUUGCCCUCUGCCAUGUUCUUCCGGCCAUCACCUCCUGUGGGGAAAAGAGAGAGAGAUCACAUUGUUACUGUGUCUGUGUAGAAAGAAGUAGACAUAGGAGACUCCAUUUUGUUCUGUACUAAGAAAAAUUCUUCUGCCUUGAGAUGCUGUUAAUCUAACCCUAGCCCCAACCCUGUGCUCCCUGAGACAUAUGCUGUGUCAACUCAGGGUUAAAUGGAUUAAGGGCUGUGCAAGAUGUGCUUUGUUAAAGAAAUGCUUGAAGGCAGCAUGCUCGUUAAGAGUCAUCUCCACUCCCUAAUCUCAAGUACUCAGGGACACAAAACACUGAGGAAGGCCACAGGGACCUCUGCCUAGGAAAGCCAGGUAUUGUCCAAGGUUUCUCCCCAUGUGAUAGUCUGAAAUGUGGCCUCGUGGGAAGGGAAAGACCUGACCGUCCCCCAGCCCGACACCCGUAAAGGGUCUGUGCUGAGGAGGAUUAGUAAAAGAGGAAGGAACGCCUCUUUGCAGUUGAGACAAGAGGAAGGCAUCUGUCUCCUGCUCGUCCCUGGGCAAUGGAAUGUCUCAGUGUAAAACCCGAUUGUAUAUUCCAUCUACUGAGAUAGGGGAAAACUGCCUUAGGGCUGGAGGUGGGACAUGCUGGCAGCAAUACUGCUCUUCAAGUCAUUGAGAUGUUUAUGUGUAUGCAUAUCUAAAGCACAGCACUUAAUUCUUUACCUUGUUUAUGAUGCAGAGACCUUUGUUCACGUGUUUACCUGCUGACCUUCUCUCCACUAUUAUCCUUUGACCCUGCCACAUCCCCCUCUCCGAGAAACACCCAAUAAUGAUCAAUAAAUACUAAGGGAACUCAGAGGCCGGUGGGAUCCUCCGUAUGCUGAACACCGGUCCCCUGGACCCCUUUUUUUCUUUCUCUA